GACGAACGCUGGCGGCGUGCUUAACACAUGCAAGUCGAACGGUGAAGGGAUCAGCUUGCUGGUUCUGGAUGAGUGGCGAACGGGUGAGUAACACGUGAGUAACCUGCCCCCUUCUUCUGGAUAACCGCAUGAAAGUGUGGCUAAUACGGGAUAUUCUGGGUCUGUCGCAUGAUGGGUCUGGGAAAGAUAUUGUUUCGGUGGGGGAUGGGCUCGCGGCCUAUCAGCUUGUUGGUGGGGUGAUGGCCUACCAAGGCGGUGACGGGUAGCCGGCCUGAGAGGGUGGACGGUCACACUGGGACUGAGACACGGCCCAGACCCCUACGGGAGGCAGCAGUGGGGAAUAUUGCACAAUGGGCGCAAGCCUGAUGCAGCGACGCCGCGUGAGGGAUGGAGGCCUUCGGGUUGUAAACCUCUUUCGCCAGUGAAGCAGGCCUGCUCCGUGUGGGUGGGUUGACGGUAGCUGGAUAAGAAGCGCCGGCUAACUACGUG
rnacentral:rRNA from 1 species